UACGGGGGGGCAAGCGUUGUUCGGAAUUACUGGGCGUAAAGGGCUCGUAGGCGGCCAACUAAGUCCGACGUGAAAUCCCCAGGCUUAACCUGGGAACUGCGUCGGAUACUGGAUGGCUUGAAUUCGGGAGAGGGAUGCAGAAUUCCAGGUGUAGCGGUGAAAUGCGUAGAUAUCUGGAGGAAUACCGGUGGCGAAGGCGGCAUCCUGGACCGACAUUGACGCUGAUGAGCGAAAGCUAGGGGAGCAAACGGG
rnacentral:rRNA from 1 species